rnacentral:rRNA from 1 species
GAUCCUGGCUCAGGAUGAACGCUAGCGACAGGCUUAACACAUGCAAGUCGAGGGGCAGCGGGGGUAGCGAUACCCGCCGGCGACCGGCGCACGGGUGAGUAACGCGUAUGCAACUUGCCUAUCAGAGGGGGAUAACCCGGCGAAAGUCGGACUAAUACCGCAUGAAGCAGGGAUCCCGCAUGGGAAUAUUUGCUAAAAGAUUCAUCGCCGAUAGAUAGGCAUGCGUUCCAUUAGGCAG